UAUGCAUGUUGUGUAUUUGACAUUUGUUGUGUGAAUGUUUGACUCUUGGAUAAGCUUAACACAUAUUAGCAGAAAAUCAGAGGGAUUAGGGAAAUAUCAAAGCGAUUAUCCAUGACUACCACACGGCUUUUUGUCAAUAAUGUUCUGAGCGGGUGUUCGCCUGACAGGAGAAGCAUGUUCACGCGCCGGAAACAGUUGUCUCAACCGGAAGCAGUAAAAGUCGUUAUUUCGGCUACUUUAAAUACAGUCUUCAUGAGUCACAUUGCAAAGUGGACCCAGAAGAUUCAGAAGAAAAAAGUCUAAGAAAGAAGAAUUGCUCAAUAGUAAGCAUGUUAAGAAGUAUUAAAGUGCCUGUCUUACACGUGUUUUUGAUCCUUGUUCAGUGCUUAACAUCUCACCGGACUUACUUCCUGUCUAUCGCUGGAAACAACAGAGAACAUAAGGAUAAUGUUAGCAGUAGUAGUAAGUUUAAAUACGUCCAUUUAACGGGGGAAAAUUUUGCUAUACUCUACCACUUUAACUUCUUAAUGUAGAUAUAUAUAUAUAUAAACUAUUUAAUCUGCAAAGAUUAAAAUAAAUGUGCCUAUAUCCUUUAAACUACGAAAUAUUUUGCAAAACUUGUAUCUUGAAAUUUGUGAUUUAGGAACUGAACAAGAUGAUCUUUUAUGUUUUUUUUUAGUGAUACACAGUGUUGUUUUUUGCAUCAAAAGGAAAUAUUUGAUAACAUUACCCAUUUAUGAAACGUCCCAAAUCGUUUCAUUAUUAUUGUAUAAAGAAGUUUCAAGAGAGAUUUGAUAUGAUUUGAGUAUAAAUCUCCUAAAUAUCAUACCCAGUAAUAUUCUUUCCCAAAUUUAGAUUAUCAUGUAAGACUACUACAUAUAUUUUAUAUUGUAUGUUAACAUUACCAAGCGAGUUCUCCCCGUAUUAAAAUAGUUUGUUUAUUUGUUUAUAUGCAUAUGAUUCUGUGUUCAUCGCAAUGUUUCGCCUGUGUUUUUUUUGUUACAAUGUCAUUUUUCUUAUAUUCAUAUUUCCUUCAUGAUAUUUUGUAAAGAAAGAAAAUUAAA